CCGUCGGCCCCUCGCGACGCUAGAUCGAAAACUCCGCCAGGGCCGGAAGGCAGCAACGGUAUCGAUCGACGCGGG
rnacentral:SRP_RNA from 1 species